UGUUAAAACCAAAAGCAAAUGGAGACCAGUCUUGAAGUUUCCCUGCACAGGCAAAACCAGUUUAGUCAUUAAUUUAGCUUAAUUACCAGCCGCUGUGAACGCACUGCCUUCUCACUAUAUAAGCUGCUGUGGGGGCUCGACACCUCUUUCCACGCUCUGCUCUCAGUUUGUAAGCCGCGUUUUUGGUGUGUGCGUAGUCAAUUUUUACUAGUUGGUGAUUCCUUGGGUUUAUUUUGUUAACUUCUGAACCUGUGGCAUUUGAUGAUGCCUGAAGCGUGACCCACAGAAGACGAACCCUCGUAGCCCCAAGGCCAGAGAGCAAACUAGGUGCCGGUUCCAAGCGGACCUCAGAGUUCCCGGGACAUGUGAGGAUACAAAUCUGGAGCUUCACACAGCCUUCCUGCCAGACGAGGGGAACAAAGGUGUUCCCAGACUGCAGCCAAGAGGUUCCAGAUUUGGUUCACAGUGUCCUGUAGGUUCCACAGCUGGUACCUAAGUCUGGUACCCCAUGCACUGGAUGGCAAGGCUGCUAGACCCCACGACUCCCACAGAGCAAUGUAUAAAACACAGCAUGCGAUAUUAUCUUUUCACUUGAAAAGGCAACACUAAAAAUAGGUCACGGCCUCUGACGGAGUAUACAAACUGCCAGGACAAGGACUACGAGCACAGUAGGAGUUCAAGAAAUGAUGGUAAUAAUGAGACCGCAGUGUUGCUGAUUCU